rnacentral:rRNA from 1 species
GACGAACGCUGGCGGCGUGCUUAACACAUGCAAGUCGAACGGUAAGGCCCUUCGGGGUACACGAGUGGCGAACGGGUGAGUAACACGUGGGUGAUCUGCCCUGCACUUCGGGAUAAGCCUGGGAAACUGGGUCUAAUACCGGAUAGGACCACUGCCUGCAUGGGUGGUGGUGGAAAGCUUUUGCGGUGUGGGAUGGGCCCGCGGCCUAUCAGCUUGUUGGCGGGGUGAUGGCCUACCAAGGCGACGACGGGUAGCCGGCCUGAGAGGGUGACGGGCCACACUGGGACUGAGAUACGGCCCAGACUCCUGCGGGAGGCAGCAGUGGGGAAUAUUGCACAAUGGGCGCAAGCCUGAGGCAGCGACGCCGCGUGAGGGAUGACGGCCUUCGGGUUGUAAACCUCUUUCAGCACCGACGAAGCGCAAGUGACGGUAGGUGCAGAAGAAGGACCGGCCAACUACGUGCCAGCCGCCGCCGUAAGAC